UACGUAGGGUGCAAGCGUUGUCCGGAAUUACUGGGCGUAAAGCGUGCGCAGGCGGUUUUGUAAGUCUGUUGUGAAAUCCCCGGGCUCAACCUGGGAAUGGCAAUGGAGACUGCAAGGCUAGAGUUUGGCAGAGGGGGGGUAGAAUUCCACGUGUAGCAGUGAAAUGCGUAGAUAUGUGGAGGAACACCGAUGGCGAAGGCAGCCCCCUGGGUCAAAAACUGACGCUCAUGCACGAAAGCGUGGGGAGCAAACAGG
rnacentral:rRNA from 1 species